AUUGAACGCUGGCGGCAGGCCUAACACAUGCAAGUCGAGCGGAGCGGCGGACGGGUGAGUAAUGCCUAGGAAUCUGCCUGGUAGUGGGGGAUAACGUCCGGAAACGGGCGCUAAUACCGCAUACUAUCAGAUGAGCCUAGGUCGGAGUAGCGAGUUGGGUGGGUAAAGGCCUACCAAGGCGACGAUCCGUAACUGGUCUGAGAGGAUGAUCAGUCACCCUGGAACAUAGACACGGUCCAGCCUCCUACGGGAGGCAGCCGGGGGGAAUAUUGGACAAUGGGCUAAAGCCUGAUCCAGCCAUGCGGCGUGUUUGACGAAGGUCUUCGGAGUGUAAAGCACUUUAAGUUGGGAGGCGUUACCAACAGAAUAAGCACCGGCUAACUUCGUGCCAGCCGCCGCGGUAAUUC
rnacentral:rRNA from 1 species